GGAUACAGAUUUUUUUAGGGAACUGCGACCCUCCUUAAAGUGGCGGUGACAUGUAGCUUUCAUAUUCAUAUCACAGCUUUGCUUUCAGGAGCGUUGAGGUUUCUCGAAGCCAUCAAUAGUGAA
rnacentral:precursor_RNA from 15 species